UUGUGCCCGGCCGGACCGAACCCUACAAAAGACCGCCACUCUCUAACCAGAAAACGGAGCGGCGGACCUGCGACGGCGGCGGAGCAGCUCGCAGUCUCCAACCCUAAACUCUCGCCGCCGCCGCCGCCGCCGCCGUCGUCAAAGCUCUAGCUCGAAAGGACAUCGCUCCUCCGGCCAUGGCUGGGGGCAAGCUGAGGAAGGACAAGCCCAGGGCCGGCGGCAAGGCGGCCUCCUCCGCCGCGGCGCCGUACCAGGGGGGCAUCUCCUUCCACAAGUCGAAGGGCCAGCACAUCCUGAAGAACCCGCUCCUGGUCGACUCCAUCGUCCAGAAGUCCGGCAUCAAGACCACCGACGUCGUCCUCGAGAUCGGCCCCGGUACCGGUAACCUCACCAAGAAGCUCCUCGACGCCGGCAAGUCCGUCGUCGCCGUCGAGCUCGACCCCCGCAUGGUCCUCGAGCUCCAGCGCCGGUUCCAGGGCACGCCCUACUCGCACCGCUUGAAGGUUAUCCAGGGCGAUGUGUUGAAGACUGAGCUACCCUACUUUGACAUAUGUGUGGCCAACAUUCCUUACCAGAUCUCCUCUCCCCUCACGUUCAAGUUAUUGAACCACCAACCACCCUUCAGGUGUGCGGUGAUUAUGUUUCAGAGGGAAUUUGCAAUGAGACUGGUGGCUCAACCUGGUGAUAAUCUCUACUGUCGUCUCUCUGCAAACACCCAACUGCGUGCUCGAGUCUCUCAUCUCCUAAAAGUCGGAAGGAACAACUUCCGGCCGCCCCCAAAGGUGGACUCGUCUGUGGUUAGGAUCGAGCCAAGAAAACCAGCUCCUGACGCAAAUCUUGUGAGGGAGUUUGAUGGGUUGAUGCGUAUAUGUUUCAAUCGGAAGAACAAAACACUUGGUUCCAUUUUUCGGCAGAAAACAAUGCUUUCUGUGAUGGAGAAGAAUUAUAAGACUCUCCAGGCGUUACAUCAAUCGCAGAGUAAUUUAUCAGGGGAUUCAAAGGUUGGAAUGGAUGGUUUAGAUUUUGGAGAUAAUGGGGAUGACUUGGGGAUGGAGGUUGAUGACGGUGGAGACGACGAGAUGGAGUUGGAGGAUGGCGACGCAGGGGAAGUUUCGGAAUUUAAGGAGAAAGUUUUGAAUGUGUUGAAGGAGGGUGAUUUUGAAGAGAAGAGAUCAUCCAAGCUCACACAGCAGGAGUUCUUGUACUUGCUCUCCUUGUUUAACAAGGCUGGUAUACAUUUCUCUUGAUGAGUGUAGCAAUUUUGAGUUCAGUCUUUCACGGUAAUUGCCCAGAGGCUGGUUAGGAAGUGGCGUUAGUCUCCAAUUGCACAAGCGUUACUGCAGAACUAACAUGACACACUUAACGGGUUCCUUGCAUCUUCAACUGUCGUACAAUGCAUCCAAUUUGGUUCUGGCCCUGCAAUAUAGGCACCGAGACUUGGCUUAACAUAAUUUCACACUCGGGAUCGCCCUUCCUUCUCUCUUGUUCCCUGCGCUUGCUUUCCGUCGCCUGCUCAUGCCGAUGCUCCACCAAAGGUCUUUCCUUUGCUUCUCCCAAAUUGGCUUUCUUCUCGAACCAGCGCUGACACUCCGAUAGGUUUGUAUUGCAGACCCCCGAGGAGACAUUUUCGGUUUAUUGUGUGACAAAAUCUCAUGACACUUA